CAACCCCGCUUACUCGAACACGCCUCCUGUUCCUAUUGCUCAGACCAAACGGUCGUCGACCUGCUGGCCGGGCCGUCCAGCACAGUACCCGUCCGGGUCGGAGCUGUCGAUACCUACAGCAGCUGGCACGUUCGUUACAUGAACGAACUAUCUAUCGUAGCACGCUAGCACGCAUCUGUUCCCGUCUCCUCAGCCUCCGUCUCAAACUCGCCCGGUCAUCCCAUCUCCACCACCACAUCCGUCCUCUUCCGCCGCCGCCGAUGGCCCGCCUCCUCACACAAACCCUCACCCUAGCCCGUCCCGCCGCCUCCUCCUCCCCCACCGCCGCAUUCGCCUCCCUCCGUUGCCUCGCUACCAAGGUCGAGAUCGUCGAGAUCGACCUCACCGAGGAAGACGCUGGCUCCUCGGCCCACGGCUCCUCCCCCUCGUCCCCAUCGAUCGAGGUGGUUGGGAUCCGGCGCCUGGAGGAGGCCAUCCACGGCGUCAUGGUGCGCCGCGCCGCUCCCGAUUGGCUGCCCUUCGUGCCUGGAGGGUCCUACUGGGUGCCCCCGCUGCGCCUCCCGCACGAGGUCACCGCGUUUGUCGGCCGGAUCGCGGCCUCAGGAGGCGCCUCCGGGGUCGCCAAGUUCAUGGACGGUGUCGCGGCCCCUGGGGGCGCCGGGGCCGUUGGCGGCGCGUUCGAAGUCGUGGAACUCGACGACGACGAGCUCAUGGAGGAGGAGGAGGAGGAGGCGCUUUGCUUCUCCACCACGCGCGGCUGGCCCUCGGCCUCUUUCUUCGUCCAAGGGAAAUCUCCGGAUACAAGGAGGAAAUCUAGGAAAGGUGCAAUUCAAACUAAUGAUGAAGAAAGCUGAUUCGUUUGUGCUAUGUUGCAAGGGAAGGGCGGGCCUAGUACAGCGAUAGAGCCUACCGUCUAUAAUCGGAAGGUCCCGGGUUCGAGCCCCAGCCUCUGCAUAUUAUGCGGGUAAGGCUUGACGCUUAAAGAUACCCUUCCCCAGACCCCGCACAGUGCGGGAAGCCUACGGCACUGGGCUCCUAAAAGGAAACGCAGUGCAGAGUUUAAUGACUGCCAUGAUCAAUGUACAUUUGGAUGGGAAUGAGCCAUUUGCUGGUAAACCAUGGCACCUGCUACUGUUGAUGUUGCCUCAUCCGACCUGGAAGAUAUAUCUGUAAAUUCAGGCUGAAGCUCAGGUGGUUAUUGUAUCAACAAGCCCUGGCACAAAAGGCUUCGUUUGUAACAAACUAACAAUAAAGCAUCGAUUGACCUGUUUGCUGAAUGUGUGAUACGGUACUUCCAAUACUAGGUCAGCAUCAGUCCAGAAGCUGUACCCUGAACAAAGAUUCUGGAUGGCUUCUUGUGCCAGCUAGGAACAAUGUAAAAUUGAUGUAAGCGUCUGUGCGCACUCCUGAUCCAUGUACAACUAAGUUAAAAUUUUAAACUGUUAUAGAUUGUUGUAUGGAUAGCUCUCAAUUGCUA